rfam:Myotis brandtii contig176760, whole genome shotgun sequence.
GGCCGGAUAGCUCAGUUGGUUAGAGCAUUGUCCUGAUAUGCCAUGGUUUCUGGUUUGAUGCCCAGUCUGGGCA